rnacentral:misc_RNA from 1 species
GGAGGGAUCAUUAACACUCGUGUGCGGCCGCGCUGCUGAAAGGUGGCGCUGCUCGUGCAUUUGAAACACACUGUUGAACUCGGAUGCUUCGGCAACCAAUCAUUAAGGGCGAGCCCUCAGACUGUUCAGAUCCGAUACGUACAGGAUCCCUUCCCGGCUAGUGCUUUGCCACUCCCGUGGAUCGGUUUAUCUGUCUGGACCCGGAGUAAGAGCUGUGACGUGCAAAGUGAUCGAAUCGGCUUUUUGGCUGUGUGGUCUCGUCGCGCUCCCAAACGGAGAGGUCGAAGGAUACUUGCUUUGAAGGACAUGCGCCCGUACACAUGUUGGCACCCCCGAUGGUAACUCCUCACUCUGAUUGCGAAAGCAAUCUCUGUGCAGUGAGCUCUGUCGGCAAGAGUAUUGCUUGCAAUAUCUCUGGUGGUUGCGUUUGUAAAGAAAUCCUUCCAGCGCUGUGGCGAGACUUCGGUCUCUCUUUCCGCUGAGGUAAUACUUGACAGGAGCAUUGGUGUCAUGCUUUUACUCUUGACUCAAGCUAUUUUUUUUACGACUGACUAUUGACUGAUACAACGACAGCAGCUGAAAAGAUGCUUGUCUACAAGAUUUUCUAAAUCUAAGCACAACUCUUAGCAACGGAUAUCUUGGUUCUCGCAACGAUGAAGAACGCAGCGAAAUGCGAUAUGUAAUGCGAAUUGCAGAAUUCAGUGAAUCAUCAAAUCUUUGAACGCAAAUGGCGCUCUUGGGAUAGACCUAAGAGCACGCCUCUCUCAGUAUCGGUGACACUACUCUCUCAACUCUUGCUUUGCUUUGCAAAGUGGGAGGCGAGGAAAAUGAGUGUCUUCUCAGUGGGAUUCCUUCGGGGAUCACGAAUUGAAGUCACUUGAAGUUCACUUGUAACGAGUCGUUCGAAUCUCUCUCGUACCGUUCUGUGCUUGAGACCGAGAGUGGUCUUUGGACUCUCUCUUUCCCAUAGUGCAGAUCUAGCUAUCAUGAAUGGUAGUGCUGUCGGGUGACGUGGAUAAACUCUUGCUUGGACUCUCUUAUUUCUUUCUGCUUGCAGAGGGAUUGGGAAAGACUAAGUGAAAGCUGAAACGUUGCAUUCAACUGACACUUCGACUCGAACUUGAUAUGUGAAAGACCUGAGUGAUUCUAUAACGCAACGGAAACUGAGCACACUUCACUGUGUGUCUCGACUGUUUCUCUCUCAUUCGAUCUGAGAUGAAGCGAGACUACCCCCUGAAUUUAAGCAUAUUAUUAAGGGGAGGAAAAGAAACUAACAAGGAUUCCCUCAGUAACGGCGAGUGAAGCGGGAAUAGCUCAAUUUGAAAAUCCAAGAUCUACACAGGUCUUUGGAAUUGUAUCCUAUUCGACGUGCUAUCAGCGUGUGACUCGAGUACAAGUCCUUUGGAAGAAGGCAUCAUAGAGGGUGAGAAUCCCGUCUCUGACUCGAGCAAUCCAGCUUUCACCGCGUACGAUGCAUGUUCAACGAGUCGAGUUGUUUGGGAUUGCAGCUCUAAAUGGGUGGUAAGUUUCAUCUAAAGCUAAAUAUUGGCGAGAGACCGAUAGCGAACAAGUACCGUGAGGGAAAGAUGAAAAGAACUUUGAAAAGAGAGUUAAAAAGUACUUGAAAUUGCUAAGAGGGAAGCGCUAGAAACCAGUGUAUGGUACUUUUCACAUUUUGCCCUUUCAGAAGGCUGCCGGUAGGGAAUUAGUUGGCAACUCUAGUUCUGUGCUGUGUGGUUCGAUGAGGGGGUCCUGUGUGGAGGGGACGUCAGAAUGAGUUGGGAGGGCAGGAGACACUGUUGGGAAAGGUAGGUUAUGUGCAAACGUAACUGUUAUAGUCCUGACAGGAUACUGUGCUCUCGACUGAGGAACUUCAUGGUGCGCCACUAGGCAUUGCACUCUGCUUCUAACGCGUGACUGGUGCUCUAUGACAAUGUCAUGGUGUGUGAGUUUGCGUGUUACUAGGUGGACGUGUGAGUUGCAUCGUAUGUUGAUUCUGACUAAAUGGUUUCUAUCGACCCGUCUUGAAACACGGACCAAGGAGUCUAACAUAUAUGCAAGUGUUUGGGUGCAAAACUCACAACGCGCAAUGAAAGUAAAGGUAGCUUGCUACUGUGGUUGGAAUCCUUGUGUGAACACACGGGGAGGCACAAUCGACCGAUCCUCACUUGUGAGCCGAUUUGAGUCAGAGCAUAUCUGUUGGGACCCGAAAGAUGGUGAUCUAUGCCUUAACAGGGUGAAGCCAGGAGAAAUUCUGGUGGAAGCUCGUAGCGAUACUGACGUGCAAAUCGUUCGUCUGAUUUGGGUAUAGGGGCGAAAGACUAAUCGAACUAUCUAGUAGCUGGUUCCCUC